rnacentral:rRNA from 1 species
AACGAACGCUGGCGGCAUGCCUAACACAUGCAAGUCGAACGAUCCCUUCGGGGAUAGUGGCGCACGGGUGCGUAACGCGUGGGAACCUGCCCUUAGGUUCGGAAUAACUCAGAGAAAUUUGAGCUAAUACCGGAUAAUGUCUUCGGACCAAAGAUUUAUCGCCUUUGGAUGGGCCCGCGUUGGAUUAGCUAGUUGGGGGGGUAAAGGCCUACCAAGGCGACGAUCCAUAGCUGGUCUGAGAGGAUGAUCAGCCACACUGGGACUGAGACACGGCCCAGACUCCUACGGGAGGCAGCAGUGGGGAAUAUUGGACAAUGGGCGAAAGCCUGAUCCAGCAAUGCCGCGUGAGUGAUGAAGGCCUUAGGGUUGUAAAGCUCUUUUACCCGGGAUGAUAAUGACAGUACCGGGAGAAUAAGCCCCGGCUAACUCCGUG